GAUGAAGAACGUAGCGAAAUGCGAUAAGUAAUGUGAAUUGCAGAAUUCAGUGAAUCAUCGAAUCUUUGAACGCAUCUUGCGCUCCUUGGUAUUCCGAGGAGCAUGCCUGUUUGAGUGUCAUCUAAACUCUCAUACCACACCAUUCAUUUGACGUGGUUUUGGACGUGGGGGAUUUUUUUUUUGCAGGCUUUGUUCUCAAAGUCUGCUCCCCUGAAAUGCAUUAGUGGUAUCUGGAGCGGGAGACUGCUAGGUGUGAUAUCAUCAUCAUCCUACGCCUUUGGUAUGCCCGCGUGAACAGAUUGUGCUGCUUCUAAUGCAGACAUUUUGAUCUUCUUGACAAACUUGACCUCAAAUCAGGUAGGACUACCCGCUGAACUUAAGCAUAUCAAUAAGCGGAGGA
rnacentral:misc_RNA from 1 species